AUUGAACGCUGGCGGCAUGCUUUACACAUGCAAGUCGAACGGCAGCACGGGCUUCGGCCUGGUGGCGAGUGGCGAACGGGUGAGUAAUGCAUCGGAACGUACCGUGUAGUGGGGGAUAACGUAGCGAAAGUUACGCUAAUACCGCAUACGCCCCGAGGGGGAAAGUGGGGGACCGCAAGGCCUCACGCGAUAUGAGCGGCCGAUGUCGGAUUAGCUAGUUGGUAGGGUAAAGGCCUACCAAGGCGACGAUCCGUAGCGGGUCUGAGAGGAUGAUCCGCCACACUGGGACUGAGACACGGCCCAGACUCCUACGGGAGGCAGCAGUGGGGAAUUUUGGACAAUGGGCGCAAGCCUGAUCCAGCCAUGCCGCGUGAGUGAAGAAGGCCUUCGGGUUGUAAAGCUCUUUCAGACGGAAAGAAAUCUCUCAGGAUAAUACCUUGGGAGGAUGACGGUACCGUAAGAAGAAGCACCGGCUAACUACGUGCCAGCAGCCGCCGCUGUAA
rnacentral:rRNA from 1 species